ACGUAGGAGGCGAGCGUUAUCCGGAUUUACUGGGCGUAAAGCGUGUGUAGGCGGUUUUGUAAGUUGGAUGUGAAAGCUCCUGGCUUAACUGGGAGAGGCCGUUCAAAACUAUCAGACUUGAGAGUGGUAGAGGGAGGUGGAAUUUCGCAUGUAGUGGCGCAAUGCGUAGAUAUGCGGAGGAACACCAGUGGCGAAAGCUGCCUGCUGGCCUAUUUUUGACUCUCAGGCACAAAAGCUAAGGGAGCAAACAG
rnacentral:rRNA from 1 species